rnacentral:rRNA from 1 species
UACGUAGGGGGCAAGCGUUGUCCGGAUUUAUUGGGCGUAAAGAGCUCGUAGGCGGUUUGUCGCGUCUGCCGUGAAAGUCCGGGGCUUAACUUCGGAAAGGCAGUGGAAACUGAACAGCUAGAGUAUGGUAGGGGCAGAGGGAAUUCCUGGUGUAGCGGUGAAAUGCGUAGAGAUCAGGAAGAACAUCGGUGGCGAAGGCGCUCUGCUGGACCAUAACUGACACUCAGGGACGAAAGCUAGGGGAGCGAAUGGG